rnacentral:rRNA from 1 species
UACGGAGGGGCAAGCGUUGUUCGGAAUUACUGGGCGUAAAGGGCUCGUAGGCGGCCAACUAAGUCAGACGUGAAAUCCCUCGGCUUAACCGGGGAACUGCGUCUGAUACUGGAUGGCUUGAGGUUGGGAGAGGGAUGCGGAAUUCCAGGUGUAGCGGUGAAAUGCGUAGAUAUCUGGAGGAACACCGGUGGCGAAGGCGGCAUCCUGGACCAAUUCUGACGCUGAGGAGCGAAAGCCAGGGGAGCAAACGGG